GCAGCAGCCACGGUAAUACGAAGGGGGCUAGCGUUGCUCGGAAUCACUGGGCGUAAAGGGUGCGUAGGCGGGUUUCUAAGUCAGGGGUGAAAUCCUGGAGCUCAACUCCAGAACUGCCCUUGAUACUGGAAGUCUUGAGUAUGGGAGAGGUGAGUGGAACUGCGAGUGUAGAGGUGAAAUUCGUAGAUAUUCGCAAGAACACCAGUGGCGAAGGCGGCUCACUGGCCCAUAACUGACGCUGAGGCACGAAAGCGUGGGGAGCAAACAGGAUUAGAGACCCCGGUAGUCCCUGUCUCUUAUAA
rnacentral:rRNA from 1 species